ensembl:snoRNA SNORA74 Small nucleolar RNA SNORA74
CCCAGCUGGAGGCAACUGCCUGGGUUGCAUUAUACCCAAGCAAGUGUUGCACUGCUGGGAGCAAAGCAACUACUAGCUGGCAGGCAUCUUGGCCCUGAUUAAUGCCAAAUUUGUGUUAAUUAUACCAGUGUGCCAGCAUUGCUCCCCAUCCUUUUUUUUUAAAGGAAAUAUGAGGGGCAGAUG